GAUGAACGCUAGCGGCAAGCUUAAUACAUGCAAGUCGAGGGGCAGCAUGACUGUAGCAAUACAGUUGAUGGCGACCGGCAAACGGGUGCGGAACACGUACAGAACCUUCCUUCGAGCGGGGAAUAGCCCAGAGAAAUUUGGAUUAAUACCCCAUAGCAUAACGGAGUGGCAUCACUUUGUUAUUAAAGAUUUAUCACUUGAAGAUGGCUGUGCGGCUGAUUAGGUAGUUGGCGGGGUAACGGCCCACCAAGCCUGCGAUCAGUAACUGGUGUGAGAGCACGACCAGUCACACGGGCACUGAGACACGGGCCCGACUCCUACGGGAGGCAGCAGUAAGGAAUAUUGGUCAAUGGACGAAAGUCUGAACCAGCCAUGCCGCGUGGAGGAUGAAGGUCCUCUGGAUUGUAAACUUCUUUUAUAUGGGACGAAAAAGGGCUUUUCUAAGUCGUCUGACGGUACCAUAUGAAUAAGCACCGGCUAACUCCGUGCCAGCAGCCGCCGUAACAC
rnacentral:rRNA from 1 species